CCUACGGGAGUCAGCAGUGGGGAAUAUUGGGCAAUGGAGGAAACUCUGACCCAGCAACGCCGCGUGAAUGAUGAAGGUCUUCGGAUUGGAAAGUUCUUUUCUAAGGGAAGAAGAAAGUGACGGUACCUUAGGAAUAAGCCUCGGCUAACUACGUGCCAGCAGCAGCGGUAAUACGUAGGAGGCGAGCGUUAUCCGGAAUGACUGGGCGUAAAGGGUGCGUAGGUGGUUUGGCAAGUUAGUAGGGAAACGCCAAGGCCAAACCUUGGAACUACUUAUAAAACUUUUGGACUUGAGGGCAGGAUGGGCAGCCGGAAUUACUGGUGUAGCGGUGGAAUGCGUAGAUAUCAGGAGGAACACCAGUGGCGAAGGCGGGUUGCUAGACUGUAACUGACACUGAGGCACGAAAGCGUGGGGAGCAAACAGGAUUAGAUACCCGUGUAGUC
rnacentral:rRNA from 1 species